UGCAGUCGAACGCGAACGAGUUCUUCGGAACUUUAGUAGAGUGGCGCACGGGUGAGUAACGCGUAAGUAAUCUACCCUCGCAUUUGGGAUAACCCACCGAAAGGUGUGCUAAUACCGGAUACGUCUAUUUUAAUAUCUUUUUUAUAGAGAAAGGUGGCCUCUGAUUUAAGCCACUGUGCGGGGAGGAGCUUGCGUACCAUUAGCUAGUUGGUAGGGUAACGGCCUACCAAGGCAACGAUGGUUAGCGGGUCUGAGAGGAUGAUCCGCCACACUGGAACUGGAACACGGACCAGACUCCUACGGGAGGCAGCAGUGAGGAAUAUUGCGCAAUGGGGGCAACCCUGACGCAGCGACGCCGCGUGGAUGAUGAAGGCCUUCGGGUUGUAAAAUCCUGUCAGAUGGGAAGAAGUGCCAGUUAUCUAAUAGGUGAUUGGUUUGACGGUACCAUCAAAGGAAGCACCGGCUAACUCCGUGCCAGCAGCCGCGGUAAUACG
rnacentral:rRNA from 1 species